rnacentral:rRNA from 1 species
UACAGAGGGUGCGAGCGUUAAUCGGAAUUACUGGGCGUAAAGCGCGCGUAGGCGGCUUUGCAAGUUGGGUGUGAAAUCCCCCGGCUUAACCUGGGAACUGCGUCUGAUACUGGGAGGCUUGAGUAUGGGAGAGGGAUGUAGAAUUCCAGGUGUAGCGGUGAAAUGCGUAGAUAUCUGGAGGAAUACCGGUGGCGAAGGCGGCAUCCUGGACCAUUACUGACGCUGAGGCGCGAAAGCUAGGGGAGCAAACGGG